GAUGAAGAACGUAGCGAAAUGCGAUACUUGGUGUGAAUUGCAGAAUCCCGUGAACCUUCGAGUCUUUGAACGCAAGUUGCGCCCGAAGCCUCGGCUAAGGGCACGUCUGCCUGGGCGUCACGCAUCGCGUCUCCCCCAAACCGCCAAGGCGGAGGGGAAGGAAGAUGGCUUCCCGUGCCUCACCCGGCGCGGUUGGCCUAAAUUUGGAGCCCGCGGCACUUAGCUCUCGCGGCGAUAGGUGGUGAACAAGGCCUUGGCCGUGCAAACAACCCGCUGCGAAGCUCUAUGUCACGUGCGCUCGUCGGACCCUUUGAAGUUGCCUUCGGUGACUUAAAACCUUUGCGACCCCAGGUCAGGCGGGGCUACCCGCUGAAUUUAAGCAUAUCAAUAAGCGGAGGA
rnacentral:misc_RNA from 1 species